GACGAACGCUGGCGGCGUGCCUAAUACAUGCAAGUAGGACGCAGUUGCGAACGGGUGAGUAACGCGUAUGUAACUACCUAUUAGAGGGGGAUCACUAAUUGAAACGAUAGCUACUACCGCAUACUAGUAUAUUGACCUUCGGUGUAUUAGCUAGUAGGUAGGGUAAUGGCCUACCUAGGCAACGCUACAUAGCCGACCUGAGAGGGGGAACGGCCACAAUGGGACUGAGACACGGCCCAGACUCCUACGGGAGGCAGCAGUAGGGAAGCUUCGGCAAUGGGGGGAACCCUGACCGAGCAACGCCGCGUGAGGGAAGAAGGUUUUCGGAUCGUAAAGAUCUGUUGUUAAGGAAGCGGUACUUAACCAGAAAGGGACGGCUAACUACGUGCCAGCAGCCGCGGUAAUUC
rnacentral:rRNA from 1 species